CGGCGGCGUAGUCGAUGCGGCCGUCGGCGUUGGUGUCGGCGAAGGCGGCGUCCAGGUCGCCGUCGUCGUC
rnacentral:tRNA from 1 species